rnacentral:misc_RNA from 1 species
GAUGAAGAACGCAGCGAAAUGCGAUACGUAAUGUGAAUUGCAGAAUUCAGUGAAUCAUCGAGUCUUUGAACGCACAUUGCGCCCCCUGGUAUUCCGGGGGGCAUGCCUGUCCGAGCGUCAUUGCUGCCCUCAAGCACGGCUUGUGUGUUGGGCCUCCGUCCUCCUCCCGGGGGACGGGCCCGAAAGGCAGCGGCGGCACCGCGUCCGGUCCUCGAGCGUAUGGGGCUUCGUCACCCGCUCUUGUAGGCCCGGUCGGCGCUUGCCGACACUUCAAUCUUUUUUCCAGGUUGACCUCGGAUCAGGUAGGGAUACCCGCUGAACUUAAGCAUAUCAAUAAGCGGAGGA